GACGAACGCUGGCGGCGUGCUUAACACAUGCAAGUCGAACGGAAAGGCCCUGCUUUUGUGGGGUGCUCGAGUGGCGAACGGGUGAGUAACACGUGAGUAACCUGCCCUUGACUUUGGGAUAACUUCAGGAAACUGGGGCUAAUACCGGAUAGGAGCUCCUGCUGCAUGGUGGGGGUUGGAAAGUUUCGGCGGUUGGGGAUGGACUCGCGGCUUAUCAGCUUGUUGGUGGGGUAGUGGCUUACCAAGGCUUUGACGGGUAGCCGGCCUGAGAGGGUGACCGGCCACAUUGGGACUGAGAUACGGCCCAGACUCCUACGGGAGGCAGCAGUGGGGAAUAUUGCACAAUGGGCGGAAGCCUGAUGCAGCAACUCCGCGUGCGGGAUGACGGCCUUCGUGUUGUAAACCGCUUUCGCCUGUGACGAAGCGUGAGUGACGGUAAUGGGUAAAGAAGCACCGGCUAACUACGUG
rnacentral:rRNA from 1 species